UACUUAACCUACCAAUAGACAUGGCUAGGUCAUCUUAGAAUUCUACAACGAUCAAGAAUAUAAAGACUUUAAAGGCUUCGAAAUGGAUAUUUCUAUAUCUUACAAACUGAAUGACAAAAUGGAUAUAUCCCAGUUUUCCGAUGGACAAACACAAUGGACCAAGGGUUCGCCAGGUGCGUGUCCUUUAACCUAACCUUCUCUAACCCAUUUUUGAACUCAACGGACAUAUAUCAAUAAGUAUUUCAAUAAGAACAUUUAAAGCCGUUUCGGCAUAUAGCGUGCUUUCCGGGCAAACAAACAUGGCCACAUGGACAAAAUUGUCAUAUCUUAUGAUGGAGGAAAUACCAUGCCAAAUCAAAAAUGAUUUUCUAUUAGCAAAAUCUAAUUAACCCAUUUCGACCGAGAUACAGUGCAAAUUUUUAACCGAAUUGGAUAAGUGAUUUAAACCCAAAUAUGAUCCUAUAGAAUAUGGUCAAUUUCCUAAAUAACUCAUUAAAAAUGAUUAACGCAAAACUGAAA